AACGAACGCUGGCGGCAUGCCUAACACAUGCAAGUCGAACGGGAUCCUGGCUUCGGUCAGGUGAGAGUGGCGGACGGGUGAGUAACGCGUGGGAACCUGCCCAGUGGUGGGGGAUAACUGCGGGAAACUGCAGCUAAUACCGCAUGAGCCCGAGAGGGGAAAGAUUUAUCGCCAUUGGAGGGGCCCGCGUUCGAUUAGGUAGUUGGUGAGGUAACGGCUCACCAAGCCGACGAUCGAUAGCUGGUCUGAGAGGAUGAUCAGCCACACUGGGACUGAGACACGGCCCAGACUCCUACGGGAGGCAGCAGUGGGGAGUAUUGGACAAUGGGGGCAACCCUGAUCCAGCAAUGCCGCGUGGGUGAUGAAGGCCUUCGGGUUGUAAAGCCUUUCGCGGGGACGAUGAUGACGGUACCCGCAGAAGAAGCCCCGGCUAACUUCGUGCCAGCAGCCGCGGUAAU
rnacentral:rRNA from 1 species